GCAAGUCGAACGAGAAAGUCACUUCGGUGAUGAGUAAAGUGGCGCACGGGGGAGUAACGCGUGGAUAAUCUGCCCUUAGGUUUGGGAUAACCCCGGGAAACCGGAGCUAAUACCGAAUGAGACCACGAUGACUUCUGUCGAUGUGGGAGAAUGUGGCAUCUGCUUGAAAGCCAUCGCCAAAGGAUGAGUCCGCGUUUGAUUAGCUUGUUGGUGAGGUAAAAGCUCACCAAGGCUCCGAUCAAUAGCUGGUCUGAGAGGACGAUC
rnacentral:rRNA from 1 species